rnacentral:rRNA from 1 species
GAUGAACGCUGGCGGCGUGCCUAAUACAUGCAAGUCGAGCGAAUGGAUUAAGAGCUUGCCCUUAUGAAGUUAGCGGCGGACGGGUGAGUAACACGUGGGUAACCUGCCCAUAAGACUGGGAUAACUCCGGGAAACCGGGGCUAAUACCGGAUAACAUUUUGAACCGCAUGGUUCGAAAUUGAAAGGCGGCUUCGGCUGUAACUUAUGGAUGGACUCGCGUCGCAUUAGCUAGUUGGUGAGGUAACGGCCCACCAAGGCAACGAUGCGUAGCCGACCUGAGAGGGUGAUCGGCCACACUGGGACUGAGACACGGCCCAGACUCCUACGGGAGGCAGCAGUAGGGAAUCUUCCGCAAUGGACGAAAGUCUGACGGAGCAACGCCGCGUGAGUGAUGAAGGCUUUCGGGUCGUAAAACUCUGUUGUUAGGGAAGAACAAGUGCUAGUUGAAUAAGCUGGCACCUUGACGGUACCUAACCAGAAAGCCACGGCUAACUACGUGCCAGCCGCCGCGGUAA